ACACGGAGAGUGCAAGCGUUGUUCGGAAUCACUGGGCUUAAAGAGCGUGUAGGCGGGAUGUCAGGUGUCGCGUGAAAGCCCCGGGCUCAACCUGGGAAUUGCAUUCGAUACUGCUUGACUAGAGUAUGGUAGAGGGAAGUGGAAUUUCCGGUGUAGCGGUGAAAUGCGUAGAUAUCGGAAGGAACACCAGUGGCGAAGGCGACUUCCUGGGCCAAUACUGACGCUGAGGUGCGAAAGCGUGGGGAGCAAACAGGAUUAGAAACCCCGGUAGUCC
rnacentral:rRNA from 1 species